AAAAUUGAUAUACCCUUCUCGUACGACAGCAGUGUGCCAACAUGUCCCUCUGGCUAGUAACGAAAUGGGUUCGAUGCUCCACCACAAUCUUCACAAACGCGUACAUUGUCUUCCUUCCCCAACUAGGCUCCCAUACGCGGUUGUACAAGUUGGUUGUGGCAAGACUCAUUGCUGCUUCUCAUUUUCGUGACUCUUUGCUGCGUCUGUAUUCUUCUUCUUCUCAUUUCACUACACUCGUACUGCUGCUGCUGCUGUUGUGUGUUGAUGCGUGUGCGAAGAUGCGAAGGCACGAGAUAAAAAGCGAGAUGGAAUGAAUUCAUUCAUAAAUGGAUUCCCAGUACAUGAAUGGUACACGGGAAAGACAACUUUCGCGCACAACCACACAUAUGUGAGCGGUCUGGAGUAAAUUUCAUUCACCAACAGACCACAGACGUCUUACGGCCACCCUGGUUUGCUAUUGGCGUGUGGAAAAAGACUCAGCCGGUGUAAGGGAUCACACCUGGGAGAUUGCUAGUGUAAUUUUAUACUUCCGCUCGGUUCCGAGCAAGAGAACCAGAAACAAGAACAUGUCGAUGUUCAACAGCAGCAACAGCAACAUCAACAACAACAACAAAAAUACGCUCGGAAGACGUAAGGAAAACGGAAUGCAGAAGUGUGUAGUACCAACAUACGCAACGAACGCUGAGUUUUGGCCAUGGGAGAGUAAACACAUUUUCUUGGUUUCGAUACUCUUGAUGAUGCGUAUCCUUCGUUCCAUUUUACCUCAUUCCUUCCCAAAAGCACCCGAGAAUCCCUUCUGGUCUCGCUCCCUUUGCCUUGUGGGAAUCGUCCCGCACCAAGCGGACAGGUACGGGCUGGUUGGUGUUCAGGAUCAUGUCGUCCUGCAGGAUGAAUGAAUGAUCAGUUUAUUGAACGAUGUGUUUUUUUUCUUUCUUUCGAACAGAUGCAUAUUUGUUGGUGCCCAGUUCCGUUUUGCCGUCCCUUCUUUUGCUUUUUUUUCAUGGGUGCCUGUAAUUUCUGUAUCUUCUUAAACUUGUACACCCUAAUGUGAAAUGCAUGAAGCUCGCUCGAGCAUUUAACAACCUGCACAGGUGGUUUGAUUUUGGGGCAAGCGAAUUAAGCCAAAUUUCGUUUCCUCGUCAACAUGAUUUUCGGUUUAUCACAGCUUCUAAAGCUUUUAAAAGUCCAACAAUGCAAUAGUAAAAGGGUGAUGAUCCUUUGACGACGCAUUUGGCGUUUUCUUUCCUGCAUUUCCUCAAGGCAACCAAAUUAUCCGACCCAAUUGUUGCAUAGCCCUUAGUUUGUUCCUUUCUUUAACUGAUUCCAUUUCCGGAAACGACGCACCAUUUAUUCAAUAGCACAGCGGGGUGGGUACCCAACGGUUCGGGUCAGCUUUCAGGUGAACUUUCGAAACCCGUGGUACGUACACUAUGACAGUCAAGGAUGAAAUCCCUAGGACUAAGACCCGUUUCGGUAACCCCUGAGGUGGUGAUGGAGUUUUCAAAAGAAUCGUACCGUACCACCGGCAUUAAACGUUGUGAUCAAUUAGAGUUUGCAAAUCCAUGGAUCAUUGAAAGUAGGGAACAAAAUAGGUUGGAAAGAAAGUACAAAAAAAAUGUAAAUUAGGAUUAAAACUGUUGACUUUGUUGUCCAACACACAAGAGCAAAAGCAGCUUUUCGAAGGUGAAUGGUCUAUACAGCGAGACAUUUGGGAUAAAAAUCUCUUACCGCCGGUGUGAGCGAGGAAUGGGCAAUAAAGCAGCAGAUUAUACAUUUAUAUAUAUACAAUUGACCUCUUGACUUAAUAAAGGAGGAAAAUCUGGUCAACUUUUUUGUGUAAAAGAAGGCUGUAGCAAACUGCUAGUAAAAAACUGUACUGUAUAGAAGACGGUGAGGCAGGAUCACUUGUUUCUUUACUUGAAAAA